AGUGAACGCUGGCGGCGUGCUUAACACAUGCAAGUCGAACGAGUAAGUGCUGUAGCAAUACAGAUUACUGCUAGUGGCAGACGGGUGAGUAAUACAUGGGAAUCUACCUCGAAGUCUGGGAUAACUGUUGGAAACGACAGCUAAUACCGGAUAUUGCCGAGAGGUGAAAGUUUUUCGCUUCGAGAUGAGCCCAUGCAAGAUUAGCUAGUUGGUAGGGUAAAGGCCUACCAAGGCGAAGAUCUUUAGCUGGUCUAAGAGGAUGAUCAGCCACACUGGAACUGAGACACGGUCCAGACUCCUACGGGAGGCAGCAGUGGGGAAUAUUGGACAAUGGGCGAAAGCCUGAUCCAGCGACGCCGCGUGAGUGAUGAAGGCCUUCGGGUUGUAAAGCUCUUUCAGUAGGGAAGAUAAUGACGGUACCUACAGAAGAAGCUCCGGCUAACUUCGUGCCAGCAGCCGCCGUAAAAC
rnacentral:rRNA from 1 species